ACAUAAGGGGUAAACUCAUCAUAGAUACCUGGACUAAAUUUUGUAUAUAUACGCCAGACGCACGUUUCGUCUACAAAAGACACAUCAGUGACGCUCGAAUCCAAAACAGUUUAAAAGGCCAAAUAAAGGAAUUCUAGACAGUUCGGCACCCAGACAAAUCGGUACCCGGACAAAUCGGCACCUACCAUAGACAAAUCGGCAUCCAGACAAAUCGGCAACCUAGACAAAUCGGCACCUUAUAAAUUAAUUAUCUUUGAUCUAUAUAUAGUGAACCAAAAAUUAAAAUUUCCUGGCGUGUUCAGUGUUAAUAGACAGCAAUUAUGUUUGAGUGUUAUUUAUUUGUCUCCUGCACUAUUUAUAACAUUAUUGUCAAUAUUGUACAUUGUUUCUUUGAAUAUGUAUCUUAUAAAGUGGUUUAUUCCUUUUAGUUAUUUGUUCGGCACCCAGACACAUCUUUGAAUAUGUAUCUUAUUAAGUGGUAUAUUCCUUUUAGUUAUUUGUUUGUGCUCAAGACUGUACUGCAGCUUAGUCAUUUUGAUAGGUGUAUUAUUUGUGGAAAUUCUUUUUCCUAAAACAAUACUCUGGUGUUGACACUGUUAUGCCACCCCUCGACAUCAUUGUUGGUACGGAUGGAGGACAUGAAAACACACCAGUAGUCUAUGUCAAACACACUGUUGCGUAUCCAUGUCUUGUAGAUGUAGUCCAUUACCUUCUGGACACCUGGAUGGUCGGCUUUCUUGUCUAGCUGACGGAAGAUGUCUGGGAUAUGCUCUGGUGGGAGGAACGGUACCACUUUGGUCUAGGUAGUCUUUUGUAGAUGGUAAUUGUCAGAUAUGCUCUGGUAUGAAACUGGUAUCUACAGAGGAAUCAGAAUAGAGCAUUUGAUAUCAACUCAAAAGUAGCUCUUGACACUGAAAAAGAAGGAGAAAUGUAUAGCAUUGUCACUUAUGGAUGAGGCAUCUGAUUCCUGCAAAACUGCCAGUGCCGAAGAAAAAGCUAGUUCUCCUAGUGAUGAAUUGGAAUGCAGUUUUGAAGCUGAUUGGCAAAAAAGAGGCGCUGGUUGUCAAUGUAACAGUAACACAGAUAUAAACAUCUCCAAAAAGGUGAACCAUUGACAAAUGCAAACCUGCGUAAGCACUUAGAGACAGUGACGAAAAAUUUACAAAAAGAGAUCAAGCCAACUUGUAGAUUUAGGCUCAAAACAGAGCAAUGAAAAUUUCAACAAUAUAGUGGCAAAUCAUAUGGUGGAACCAGUUCAUUAAAAGCAAGAGUUUCAGCUGCAGUUCUUUAGAAGAAUGAAGGUUAUACCUGGGUUAACAAGGUUAACAAGAAAGCAUUACUGUCACCAGGCACAAUCUUUGUUAGAGUUGGACAAAGGAUUGACAGAAAGAGACUGGCAAAAGAAGAAUAGCUCCUUAGUUCAAUUCAAACAUGACAGAUUUAAAAGAAAGAUACCAUGUUCAAACCUUGUCUGUAGAUCUGUUAACCAUGUGCCAACUGGUAAAAGACACAACAGAACUUGGGAUUCUAACACAAAGCUUGCAUCAGCCAUGAUUCAUGCUGGUAUAGGAGAAAGGCAAGUCAAUAGCCUUCUUUCGUGCUGAAUAUUCCACAUGUCAGUACAUGGACUGUUUUGGCAAGGCAAAAUGAAGCAGGCAUUAAAGAAUACUUAUUUUGUAUCAUAUUGUUGAUCUAAAUACAUGAAACUCUGACAACGAACAGAGGCGGAAAAAAAUUGGUUGCUUAUAUAGGGAAUCACUGAAGCGUGACUGGAGCAGGCCCCCUCUUAGGUCAGUCAGUGGGCCCCCACUUAUGAAAAUUUCUGGAUCCGCCACUGACGAAUUUAAUAAACAAGCUGAAAUUUUAAAUGCAGUUAAAACACUUAAAAAUGGUAAAUCAUCAGCUUAAGACCUAAUUUCUAAUGAAAUGAUUAAAUGUGGUAUGCCAGUAUUAUUAGAACCCCUAUAAAAGGUAGCAAUACACAGUUAGGAAAAAAACUUAAAAUUGACACUCAUAAUUUUUAAACACCCCCUUUCCCCUCCUGUCUAACAAAGAAGGCUUUAUAUGUGUGUUAUGCAUGUAUAUACUUGUAGAAAGAGAAUCUUCCAUAGAUUUGAUUUCUAAUGGUCAUAAGGGUGAAAUAUAAUCCCUUUUGGGUGUAACCAUGGCAACAAUCUGCAUUUCUUAGAUACAAAAUAGAGCAAAAAAGGGGGGUGAACAUGUCACAAAAGUCUCCAAAAUUUGGUCUAAAGGAAAAUUUCAAUGAAUUACAGUGAUACCUUUCCUGAAUCCAUAGGUUUAUAUCUAUCAAGUGGUCCAAAAAAAAUCAUAUGUCUUCCUGCUCGUUUUUCCAUAAAAUUGAAUUGAAAAGAUCGAGCGCAAAAUCUUUGUUGAUAAACACUACAAUAAUUUAUGGACCUAUGAACGGUUCGGAUAGGAAAAUACGGACUGUCAAUCAUUGAAAUGGCCUAUAAAACAUGUUAAAAUCAAUCGAAAUGUUCAUAUAAACCCACUAAGAAGGCUAUAUUAUUCUUCAAUUACCUAAAAAUCAAUUUUAUUGUACAAAAACUUUCAUAUUUAAAAAAUUCACAGGGGCCAUAAUGCGAAACUAAACUUCUAACUGUGUAUUGCUACCUUAAGGAUUAACAUUUUUUUUCCCAAUUCCACUUUAAAUGGAUUUCUAUUUUCUACUAGUUAAAACGAGCAUUUUCGCCUGCUAGUUUUGAAAAUCGGUUCAGAAAUAAAUAUUUUAUGAAGGUUAGCAGUUGACACUGAAAUGCAACAAAAAAGUGAUUUUAUGAAACAUGCUAUGUCAAAGUGCAUUUUCUCCUUUUUUAGUCAAUUUUCUAAAACUAUACCUUCUAAGCCUGUCUUUCCUUGUUUAAAAACCUAAAUUAACCUUAACAGUAGACAACUUUUACAAGUUAAAGCUAUUUUAAAGCUCUAGAAUGUCAAUUUUGUUGUGUAUUACCAUACCGAGGCCUUGGUUAAAAUUAAGUCAAUACUGAAUUUAUUUAUAACAGCGGGGAAAAAAUUGGGCUUAAUUCAUGCUAAAUUGUGACUUUAUACUUGCUAAAAUAAUAAAUUUGAUUUAGUCGCAUGAAAAAAAAUAAAGCGUUCCCUUCUAAGGUUUCUACAUAAUGCACAAUCUUUUUUUCCAAGGGGUAGCCAAUAAAGUAUCAAUUAAUAACGGAACCAAGUCUAUGUGUCAAAAUGUCUAUAUUGGUUGCUAAGGACAAUAAACAACAAAACUAACAUACAUUGUCAUAC